GUCCUUGUAGCGCAAUGGAUAACGCGUUUUGACUUCUGAUCCAAAGGUCGUGGAUUCGAAUUCCACCAGGGAUG